AGUCAAGUAAUUAAGUGCAUGUGGUGGAUGCCUUGGCAGUCAGAGGCGAUGAAAGACGUGAUAGCCUGCGAAAAGCUCCGGGGAGGCGGCAAAUAUCCUUUGAUCCGGAGAUGUCUGAAUGGGGGAACCCACCUACUUUAAGGUAGGUAUUGCAACAUGAAUACAUAGUGUUGCAAGGCGAACGAGGGGAAGUGAAACAUCUCAGUACCCUUAGGAAAAGAAAUCAAUUGAGAUUCCCUCAGUAGCGGCGAGCGAACGGGGAUCAGCCCAUUAAGUUAUGUGUGUUUUAGUGGAACGCUCUGGGAAGUGCGAACGUAGAGGGUGAUAUUCCCGUACACGAAAGGGCACACAUAAUGAUGACGAGUAGGGCGAGGCACGUGAAACCUUGUCUGAAUAUGGGGGGACCAUCCUCCAAGGCUAAAUACUCCUGACUGACCGAUAGUGAACCAGUACCGUGAGGGAAAGGCGAAAAGAACCCCUGUGAGGGGAGUGAAAUAGAUCCUGAAACCGCAUGCAUACAAGCAGUGGGAGCACCUUCGUGGUGUGACUGCGUACCUUUUGUAUAAUGGGUCAGCGACUUAUAUUCAGUAGCGAGGUUAACCGUAUAGGGGAGCCGUAGAGAAAUCGAGUCUUAAUAGGGCGUUUAGUUGCUGGGUAUAGACCCGAAACCAGGCGAUCUAUCCAUGAGCAGGUUGAAGGUUGGGUAACACUAACUGGAGGACCGAACCCACUGUCGUUGAAAAGCCAGGGGAUGACUUGUGGAUAGGGGUGAAAGGCUAAUCAAGCCUGGUGAUAGCUGGUUCUCCCCGAAAGCUAUUUAGGUAGCGCCUCGGACGAAUACCAUAGGGGGUAGAGCACUGUUUCGGCUAGGGGGUCAUCCCGACUUACCAAACCGAUGCAAACUCCGAAUACCUAUGAGUACUAUCCGGGAGACAGACUGCGGGUGCUAACGUCCGUAGUCAAGAGGAAAACAAUCCAGACCGCCAGCUAAGGCCCCAAAAUCAUAGUUAAGUGGGAAACGAUGUGGGAAGGCAUAGACAGCUAGGAGGUUGGCUUAGAAGCAGCCACCCUUUAAAGAAAGCGUAAUAGCUCACUAGUCGAGUCGGCCUGCGCGGAAGAUGUAACGGGGCUAAAACUAUGUGCCGAAGCUGCGGAUUGACUUUGUACGUGGUAGGGGAGCGUUCUGUAAGCCGAUGAAGGUGUGUUGAGAAGCAUGCUGGAGGUAUCAGAAGUGCGAAUGCUGACGUGAGUAACGACAAAACGGGUGAAAAACCCGUUCGCCGAAAGACCAAGGGUUCCAGUCCAACGUUAAUCGGGGCUGGGUGAGUCGACCCCUAAGGCGAGGCCGAAAGGCGUAGUCGAUGGGAAAAUGGUUAAUAUUCCAUUACUUCUGUGUAAUGCGAUGAGAGGACGGAGAAGGCUAAAUCAGCCUGGCGUUGGUUGUCCAGGUGAAAGGAUGUAGGCAUGUAUCUUAGGCAAAUCCGGGGUACUCUAUGCUGAGAUCUGAUAGCAAGCUGUACUUGUACAGCGAAGUGGUUGAUGCCAUGCUUCCAGGAAAAGUCUCUAAGCUUCAGUUACACAGGAAUCGUACCCGAAACCGACACAGGUGGUCAGGUCGAGUAGACCAAGGCGCUUGAGAGAACUCUGCUGAAGGAACUAGGCAAAAUGGUACCGUAACUUCGGGAGAAGGUACGCUGUUGUUGGUGAUGGAACUCGCUUCCUGAGCUGACGACAGCCGCAGAAACCAGGCCGCUGCAACUGUUUAUUAAAAACAUAGCACUCUGCAAACACGAAAGUGGACGUAUAGGGUGUGAUGCCUGCCCGGUGCUGGAAGGUUAAUUGAUGGGGUUAGCGUAAGCGAAGCUCUUGAUCGAAGCCCCAGUAAACGGCGGCCGUAACUAUAACGGUCCUAAGGUAGCGAAAUUCCUUGUCGGGUAAGUUCCGACCUGCACGAAUGGCAUAAUGAUGGCGGCGCUGUCUCCAGCAGAGGCUCAGUGAAAUCGAAAUCGCUGUGAAGAUGCAGUGUACCCGCGGCUAGACGGAAAGACCCCGUGAACCUUUACUGCAGCUUGACACUGAACUUUGACCUUACUUGUGUAGGAUAGGUGGGAGGCUUUGAAGCUGGAACGCUAGUUCCAGUGGAGCCGUCCUUGAAAUACCACCCUGGUAAUGUUGAGGUUCUAACUCUGUCCCGUGAUCCGGGACGAGGACCGUGUCUGGUGGGUAGUUUGACUGGGGCGGUCUCCUCCUAAAGAGUAACGGAGGAGUACGAAGGUGCGCUCAGCGUGGUCGGAAAUCACGCGUAGAGUAUAAAGGCAAAAGCGCGCUUAACUGCGAGACCCACAAGUCGAGCAGGUACGAAAGUAGGUCUUAGUGAUCCGGUGGUUCUGUAUGGAAGGGCCAUCGCUCAACGGAUAAAAGGUACUCUGGGGAUAACAGGCUGAUACCGCCCAAGAGUUCAUAUCGACGGCGGUGUUUGGCACCUCGAUGUCGGCUCAUCUCAUCCUGGGGCUGAAGCAGGUCCCAAGGGUAUGGCUGUUCGCCAUUUAAAGAGGUACGCGAGCUGGGUUUAGAACGUCGUGAGACAGUUCGGUCCCUAUCUACCGUGGGCGCUGGAAAUUUGAGAGGAUCUGCUCCUAGUACGAGAGGACCAGAGUGGACGAACCUCUGGUGUACCGGUUGUGACGCCAGUCGCAUCGCCGGGUAGCUAUGUUCGGAAGGGAUAACCGCUGAAAGCAUCUAAGCGGGAAGCCUACCUCAAGAUAAGAUUUCCCUAGGACUUUAUGUCCUCUAAAGAGCCGUUCGAGACUAGGACGUUGAUAGGUUGGAUGUGGAAGCAUAGUGAUAUGUGAAGCUGACCAAUACUAAUUGCUCGUGAGGCUUGACUAU
rnacentral:rRNA from 1 species